rnacentral:lncRNA from 1 species
CCAUAAUCAAACACAGUAAUAUUUCUGAAAGAAACAUAAAUAUUCACACUAAGUAGAAUAAAUAAAGACUAUAAAUAGUGUUACAUUGGCAUAGAUCAGGUUUUGCUGCCAAAAGAAUUAUAAAAAUAACUUUUUGUUUUCCAAGCUUUUUGGUUUUCAGAACUGCAGAUAUGGAAUCACAGACCUGAACCAGGCAAAUAUUAGCCAAAAGAGAGCUGGUGUACUCAUGGAAUAUCAAACAAACGAGCUUCUCAGGAAAACAACAUUAUUAGGGGUUACCCCUUUUAGUUCAGCCAAAUGUAAACAAAACUGAAUUUUAGCUCUGCUCUUAUAAGAGUUGUGUUUAGACGAUGAUUUGCUCCAGGCCAAUGCUUUUCAAAGAGGAGAUUUUGAUCUCUGGAGAAUCCUUGAAGGUGAA